rfam:Helianthus annuus linkage group 13, whole genome shotgun sequence.
AAUGUUGGUGUGUAGCCAAGGAUGACAUGACGACGGCAACCGUCUGUCCAUUGGAACAUAGUGAUUAGUGGACAGUCGAUAUGCAUGCUUUGUCAUGUCAUCUUUGGCUACAUUCUUCUUUCU